CAGCAGUUUCCUUGUCAAUGAUCUGAGUGCUUUCUAUUUGGACGUCGCUAAAGAUGUUGUGUACAUCGAGGCGAAAGAUGAUCCUAAGCGGCGUGGUAUGCAAACCGUGAUGUUUGCCGCCUUAUUGACCGUCACUAAGUUGAUCACGCCGAUUCUGCCGCAUACAGCAGAAGAAGUUUGGCCAUAUCUCAAGCAGCCAGAAGCCUAUGCUGCUUUGGCUGAUAUGCCAGAAGCAGAACAGUUUGAUGAUGAAAGCCAAUUGUUAGAUAUCUGGUCAGGCUUUAUGGACUUCCGUUCUGAAGUGCAAAAGGCUUUGGAACUUGCUCGUGAUAACAAAGUUAUCGGGAAGUCGCUUGAAGCUGCAGUCACAGUUUAUCCUUCUGAACCUGUUCGCGAUAUGCUGGAUGACGUCGAUGCCAAUGUGAUGCAGCUUUUGAUCACAAGUCACUUCGAAAUUGCGCCUGCAACUACAAAGGCACCGGCCGAUGCCGAACAGUUUGAUGACAUGGCUGUUGUUGUAAAACAUGCUGACGGCGAAGUUUGCCCACGCUGCCGAAUGGUGCGUACAGAUAUUGGUACAGAUCCAAAGUUGCCGCAAUUGUGCAGCCGGUGUGCAGCUAUCGUUGAGGCUAAUUUCCCAGAUGCUGUCACUAACGGGUUUGAUAAGUAGGCGGGUGAAGACAUGCAAGGACGCGUUAAAAACUUUAACGUUGACAAAGGCUAUGGCUUUAUUGAAGCUGAGGGGCAACCGGAUAUAUUCGUUCACUUUUCGGCGAUUAAUGAACCGGGAUUUAAAAGUCUGACACCCGGUGAAACGGUUGAUUUCGUUAUUGUUGAAGGGCCUCGGGGUCCACAAGCAGCGAAUGUGACGGUUCAUCGGUCUGAGGAUGGUGCUCCGCAAUAGACUUUUUGACGCCCCGUUGUCGGCUGGCGAUAGGGCGCUUACGUAAAUCCUAGACAGUAAAAAACACCGCGAGAUCAAAUCGCGGUGUUUUUGUAUACAGCAUUCAGUUUUUGUGGUGCAAGUUUUUAAACUUAAAUUACUUGUUGAUUUCUUCGAUCUUACCGUCAUGCGUACGGGCAACGGUCAUCUGAGUAACGGGGAUGUAACCGAGCUUUGGUACCAAUGUCUUUUGGACAUUCUUUGACUGAAUAUAAUUGAUGAAAGCUGCUGUGGAGGCGUUUGGUUUGCCUUUGGUGUACAUAUGUUCAUAGGCCCAAAUCUUCCAAGUGUUGGUGGUCACAUUCUUGUCCGUUGGUUGGACAUGAUUAAGGGCAAGCUUUUGAACACCGUCUUUAAUUGCUGAGAAGGCGAGAUAGCUGAUGGCACCCGGUGUUGUUGAAACCAUCUGAUAAACAGUACCGCUAGAAUCUUGUUCCUGACUGGUUUUAACUUUAUUUGUUUUGAUCCCGAACUGUUCGAACGUUGCUCGUGUCCCGGAACCUUGUGCGCGGUUAAUCAAUACGAUGGCCUGAUCUUUACCACCAACUUCUUUCCAGUUAGUGAUCUUGCCUUGGAAAAUAUCAACUAAUUGCUGCGUGGAGAUGUUUUUGACGCCGGCGUCCUUGUUGACAACUGGCGCAAUCGCAACAACAGCUACCUGAUGGUCAACCAGAUCAUCAGCUUUCAAAUCAGAUUUUUCUUGGGCAAAAAUGUCUGAAUUACCGAUUGUAACUGAACCGGCUGCAACUUGACUCAAACCGGCGCCUGAACCACCACCUUGCACGGUGAUUUCUGCCUUAGGAUUGUCUGUUUGAUAUUGCUUAGCUGCCUGUUCAACCAAAGGCUGUAAAGCUGUUGAACCAACUGCCAAAAUCUUGCUCUGCUUGAUUGGGGCAGAGCUGGAUUUGCUUGAACUGCUGGCGGAUUUGGACCCGCAGCCUGCCAAUACUAAGGUGGCGGCUAAGGCCACGGUCAAACCGACGAACAAUUUCGAAUGCUUCAUUACUUUUCCCUCCAAUACUUGAAUAACCUAAGCAUAAGGUUGCUGUGUAAAGACUUCGCCACGUUGCUGUAAAGAAUACGUUUUACUUUUGUAAAGGCUGUAACGGUUCCUUUGAAAUGCCGACAACACUCGGCGUAUAAUGACGCAGAUAGGCUUUAUUAAAGGAGCGAAACACGUGAAAAAUUACAUUGAGGACAAAAAUGUUCAGAAAAAUCGGUGGUGGAUCCUAACUGCCAUCGGAAUGUUUACAAUUAUGUCGACGCUAGAUGGGUCAAUUGUCAACAUUGCUUUACCAGUGAUGAGUCGCGAUUUACAUAUUCCAAUGAAUCAAGCGGAGUGGGUGGUUUCGAUUUAUCUGAUGAUGAUCUGUGGUUUGUUGCUGUUUUUUGGCCGGCUAGGUGAUUCAAUUGGCAAAAUCAAAGUUUUCCGAGUUGGGAUGGUACUAUUCUUAAUUGGUUCGCUUUUUGCCGGUUUCAACAAUAGUCUUGCCUUGUUGCUUGCUGCGCGAAUUGUUCAAGCUACCGGUGCAUCUAUGACCAUGGCGAACAAUAAUGGGAUCGUAACGGAGA
rnacentral:rRNA from 1 species